rnacentral:rRNA from 1 species
UGUAGUGUGGAGAGUGUGACUAGGUGCAGCUGUAGGGGACAGGCGUGAAGGUGAAUGACGUGGCGUAAGGUGUGGCCAGGCGGCCGCGAAAGUGGAGGGUGAAAGCCCCGGGCUUAACUUGGGAAUUGCGCUCGAAACUACGUGGCUGGAGUGUGGCAGAGGAAGGUGGAAUUCCACGUGUAGCGGUGAAAUGCGUAGAGAUGUGGAGGAACACGAAUGGCGAAGGCAGCCUUCUGGGCCAACACUGACGCUCAUGCACGAAAGCGUGGGGAGCAAACAGGAUUAGAUACCCGGGUAGUC